GGAUGCUCAGUCAGCAGUCCCAACGAACCAGAACGCGCCGCGUGACAACGGACGUUGCGCGGUGCCACGCGGGCGAUCCGCGUGCCCGCGAUCGGAUGACCCAGAUUCACUCCCGCGCGCACGGACGACACAGAUGUGUUUCCUCCCCAAACGCGAUCGGACGACCAGAUUUAAACGCGAUCAACGGUCCAUAUCCACUUCCUAUUUAAACACGAUCGGACGGUCCAGAUCAGAUCGCGAUGAACGGUCCAGAUUCACUCUCUAUUUAAUCAUGAUUGGACGGUCCAGAUCAAACGCGACGGAUAUUAGAGAUUAAAAGG
rnacentral:lncRNA from 1 species